GAUCCAAGCAACCCAUUGUGGCAGCCUAAAUAGCAGCGAUAAGACUGAUGGUGCUCUUCUGCCCGGGAAUCUCUGGUCUGGCUUCCCUCUUGAGUCCGCAACAAGCGGCUCUGACUUCCCGGAGCUCCAAACUCCGGUCAGUAGGGGAAGCGGUCCCGUUGGCUCUGCAGGAAGAGCUGCUGCACCGACGCCGGCAAAACCGCUGCGGCGGCCACAAGAGUCGCGCUGGCGACCCGUGGGGCUCCUCCACUGGGAAUCGGCUGAUCGCAGGGGCAAGGCCUUGAGAAGGAGGACAUCGUGUGGGUACAGGCCAACCCCAUCAUUACUCACCUCUCUAUUCAGCAAACACUCAAUGAGACAGCCACGGACCCUAGGGAUGUAACGAUGAAGGAGACACAGCUCUUCAACACCUGGCAAGGCAGAGACGCUUCAGUAGUCAACGACAGCCCCAGUGGACAAUGGACGACGCCAGCAGUCAAGAAAUGCUGGCAGCACCUGGAAGCUGGAAAGGCAAGGAAAUGGAUUUUCCCCGGACCCUCCAAGGAGAAUAUAGCACUACCUCUACCUUGAUUUUCACCCAGUGAGACACAUUUUGGAUUUCUGAUCUACAGAAUUGUAAGAUAAAUCUAAGAUCUUAUAAACCCCUAGGCUUGUGGCCAUUUGUUAUAGCCGCAACAGGAAAUUAUUACGGGGGAAUUGCUGCCAUUAAGGUAUGUAGGGGUAGAAGCAGAUUUGGGUACAGCGAACACUUACAUUUUACACACAGUAAGUUUAUGGGGCCCAGGUGCAGCUGUGCAAUAGCUGAGUAUCUGAGGCUGGAACUCGGGAGGAAAGUCUGGCUGGCAGAGGAUACUCAAGGAUAUCAGGGUUUUUAGGAGAAAUGGAAACCAUAAAAUGAAUGAAGGAUGAGAAUGAGCAGAUAUGGAGGAUGGCAGAGGAGCCCUUGAAGGAGAGAAAGAACAAUUAUCCCGGAUUAACUACUUCAUCUCCUAACAAAGGCAGUAAAGUGAUAGCAUAGUGAAGACUUUAGUUUCAUUCUGCUGAUUCUCCGGGGUCUGCCUUUUAUUUUUCAGGCUGCCUGGAUCCCCAGAGUUUGUCUGGAAAGCCUCUUGAGAUGGGGUUAUGUGCUCCUAUGAUCCCAGGAGGAGGGAUGGGGCAAAAGAGACAAAGCUGUGCCUCCGCAGCAGCCAUGCCAUCAUCCUGGGAGUGAGCUCCAGGUGUGGCUCAGGCACA